GCUGGUGUAGCUCAGAGGCAGAGCGGCGCACUUGGGUAGUUUCGUCUAAGAAAGACACCUAAUAAGGAAAUGUGAGUUCAAAUCUUACAAUUACUACAAUAAUGCGCAGGUCGAGAUUUCGAAAUUCUCCAUCAGCUCCA
rnacentral:tRNA from 1 species